rnacentral:rRNA from 1 species
UACAGAGGGUGCGAGCGUUGUUCGGAAUUAUUGGGCGUAAAGGGCGCGUAGGCGGUGCGGUAAGUCACCUGUGAAAUCUCCUGGCUCAACUGGGAGCUUGCAGGCGAAACUGCCGUGCUGGAGUGUGGGAGAGGUGCGUGGAAUUCCUGGUGUAGCGGUGAAAUGCGUAGAUAUCAGGAGGAACACCGGUGGCGAAGGCGGGUCUCUGGGCAGUAACUGACGCUGAGGAGCGAAAGCGUGGGGAGCAAACAGG